GUAGUGACUUGAUGAAGACAGAACAUCCAGAACCUCCCUAGUAGUGACUUGAUGAAGACAGAACAUCCAGAACCUCCCUAGUAGUGACUUGCCUUAGAGAGAACAGUGGGACACCAUUUACAGUAUCAGUUUUGAGUUCGGUGUAAUGAAGUUGACCUGGUUAACCCAGGUAGGGAAGCUGGGGAGGGAGAAUGUCCGAGAAAGGAACCACAAUGACGUCUCCUCCACCACGGCCUCCAAGACAAUAUAAAUACUGUCCCUACCAGGUAGAAAACAUGACAACCUACCAAACCAACCCGCAAGGUGAACUGUGAUAUUUUCGCAUUACUAUUCAAACUGAAGAAAGACAAAUCUCCCGGAGCCAAUAUGAAGUUCAGCACCGUCCAACUCGUAGCCGCUGUGGUAGUGGUGAUGAGCGUCUGUCUGCUGCGCGAAUCCGUGGCGCAUUCCAUCCAUCGCCCGCUCAGCGCCCCCUGCACAGCGCGGAUACCG